rnacentral:rRNA from 1 species
UACGUAGGGCGCAAGCGUUGUCCGGAAUUAUUGGGCGUAAAGAGCUCGUAGGCGGUCUGUCGCGUCGGCUGUGAAAACCCGAGGCUCAACCUCGGGCCUGCAGUCGAUACGGGCAGACUAGAGUGCUGUAGGGGAGACUGGAAUUCCUGGUGUAGCGGUGAAAUGCGCAGAUAUCAGGAGGGACACCGGUGGCGAAGGCGGGUCUCUGGGCAGUAACUGACGCUGAGGAGCGAAAGCGUGGGGAGCAAACAGG